rnacentral:rRNA from 1 species
UACGGAGGGUGCAAGCGUUGUUCGGAUUUACUGGGCGUAAAGGGCGCGUAGGCGGCAAUUCAAGUCAUCUGUGAAAUCUCCGGGCUUAACUCGGAAUGGUCAGGUGAUACUGCUUUGUUAGAGUGCAGAAGGGGCAAUCGGAAUUCUUGGUGUAGCGGUGAAAUGCGUAGAUAUCAAGAGGAACACCUGAGGUGAAGACGGGUUGCUGGGCUGACACUGACGCUGAGGCGCGAAAGCUAGGGGAGCAAACGGG